UACGAAGGGGGCUAGCGUUGCUCGGAAUUACUGGGCGUAAAGCGCACGUAGGCGGUCUUUUAAGUCGGGGGUGAAAUCCUGGAGCUCAACUCCAUAACUGCCUUCGAUACUGGAAGACUUGAGUCCGGGAGAGGUGAGUGGAACUGCGAGUGUAGAGGUGAAAUUCGUAGAUAUUCGCAAGAACACCAGUGGCGAAGGCGGCUCACUGGCCCGGUACUGACGCUGAGGUGCGAAAGCGUGGGGAGCAAACAGG
rnacentral:rRNA from 1 species